rnacentral:rRNA from 1 species
GACGAACGCUGGCGGCGUGCUUAACACAUGCAAGUCGAACGGAAAGGCCCUGCUUGCAGGGUACUCGAGUGGCGAACGGGUGAGUAACACGUGGGUGAUCUGCCCUGCACUUCGGGAUAAGCCUGGGAAACUGGGUCUAAUACCGGACAGGAGCCAUUUUUAGUGUGAUGGUUGGAAAGUUUUUUCGGUGUAGGAUGAGCUCGCGGCCUAUCAGCUUGUUGGUGGGGUAAUGGCCUACCAAGGCGGCGGCGGGUAGCCGGCCUGAGCGGGUGGACGGCCACAUUGGGACUGAGGGACGGCCCAGACUCCAACGGGAGGCAGCAGUGGGGAAUAUUGCACAAUGGGCGCAAGCCUGAGGCAGCGACGCCGCGUGGGGGAUGACGGCCUUCGGGUUGUAAACUCCUUUCGCAAGGGACGAAGCUUUUUGUGACGGUACCUAGAUAAGAAGCACCGGCUAACUACGUG